rnacentral:rRNA from 1 species
CAGUCGUACCGACGGGAAAUCAACCUUUUGGGCGUGAUCUUGUGGAUGCUUGGGAGCUUAACGGCCUCUGUGUUUUCAAGUUUGUGCUCUUGGGCGUAUUUUUCCGUAUGGUAAGUUAACAUCAAUUUCGGUCGUUAUAAAAUGAUCGGAGGAAAGUAGCUUCGAUUUAUCGAAGUGUUAUAGACUCUGGUAAAUGUAACGAUCGGGAUUGAGGAUUGCAACGAAUACCCGUCAGGGCUAUCCGUCUGGCCUCUGAUCGUUGCCUUGGUGCCGAAAGCUUGCUUACGGUUAUUGAGGUUGAUGGUCAAAAGGUUAGAAAGUGAUUAAA